rnacentral:pre_miRNA from 1 species
AGUGGAAUUGUUAGAUCCUUUGGUAAUUCUGUUAUUAAUUAUUUGAAUAACCUUCAUAUUAUUUGUUAUAGUGACUGAACCAUUUGACAUUCCCAAUUGCAGU